AUGUAUAUGUUUAAUCUACUCCAUGAGUAUACUGAGCAGGUGCAGAUAACUCCAACACUUACGGAAGUUUGUGAGGUCAUUUCUGCAAUGGAGGUAACUUCGUGAAAGCAAGGAGCAACAAUGAGAGGGGAGGAUGACAUCGAGAAGCUGCCUGAUACACGGCUUGAAAGCACACUCGAUGCAUGACCUAAAAGGAUGCUUUUGUUUGAUUUAGCCCUAUCACCAGACCAAAUAAGUUAGCGUUUUCGCUCUCUAAGGACAUGUUAAAGCUGGAAAAGAAAUGUGAGAACUUCAUACCAGUCAAGGAGCUCCAAUGCCUAUGGGUAGGAGACAAGGUCCAGAAAGGGAAAAUAAUCUGUAUCAUUGAGGCUAUGAAACUGAUGGACGAAAUUGAGAAGCAGCAAACCAAGUAAGAUGCAGUAGCUUCGGCCCCUCUUGAUAGGCUCCAAACAAAUUAUCAAGGAAACAAUACCUCUUACUUUACCUGUAGCCAAAUUUGAUUAACGUUAAAUGAUUAGAACACCUCAAGCAUAGCAAGAGAGUUGUGGGUAGCUUAUCACAUUCCAUGUAAGAUGCAACAAUAAUUUAACAUUUAGU